ensembl:lncRNA
CCCCGUACCGCGUGCGGCCCCCACCGCCCGGCCCGAGCUGCGGCGCUGCCGGCUGCUGACAUUUCCGCGGUUAUUGCUCCGCUCCGAGCUCUGCCAUCGCCGUUACAAUGGGAACAAUUACACUCAAUUAUUCUCCACCACACCGUCGACAAAAAAAGAUGGCAUUUAAACUUUAAUUAUUCUCUCGGUGUGCGUGAGCAGCAUGGCCCGCAGCCCGGGCAGCCCCUCAGCACUGCUCCGUCUGCACCGAGCGGUGACCCCGGGAUCGUGCUGCCACCGGGGAGGGAUGGGAGGAGCCCAGCACCCACCCCGAGCCCGGCGGGGGCUGCAGGGAGCGGUCGGAGCCCAGCACCCACCACCCGCACACGUGCAGCGUGGCAUCAGGGAGGCAGUAAAUCCCAGAGCCCGGAGCAGCUGCAACUCGGAGCAGCUUUUUCCAUAAAGGCAGAGGCACGUUAUUUAAGGCUGCUCUUAAAACCUAAUGUUAGGUUUAAUAAGGGAGAUAAAAGCGUGCCAGAGGCUGUCCUGCGCGGGGCUGCGCGCUGCCGGCUGUGCAGGUGGAUGGGCCCUGCGUCCUGCUGGCACGGCCACACCAACACCCACCCCGGCGAUGCGGUGACCCCACUCCCGGUGGCGCUGCCAGCAGAGGGCUGGCAUCGUGUGGGCACAGAGCCCUCGGACCCAAACACGGGGCUUUUGGCCCCAAGCAGCCUCCCCCGCUGUGCCCCUCCCCCUCACCCCCCCCCCAUGCUGACCUCUCCCCACCUGCCCCCGCACACAGGGCGUGUGCCAUCUCAUUAGUGUGUCUGUCCCCCAAAGUGAGAAGGGAGAGAGCGUGAGACCUAAUUGAAUGUAACUAAUUAUUCACUCUGCAAAUGCUGUUUAAAUGGGAUUGUGAGGGACAAAAUUACUCAUUCUGAAAAGGGGAGAGAAAGAGAGAAAGACAGAGAGAAAACAAAUAGAGGCGGGUGCUGGAGCUGCAGCUCCCUCUCUCCCCAGAAUACCAAUUACCGGAUGAAGUGAUUGUAUAAAUCUUUACCGAGUGAACGAACUGUAGUAGUCACUUACUUCUGUCCUCUUAUUACACGGAAGCAAUGAAAAAUCGUCCCUCUCUGCAGUCCAGUUAAGGGCUCCCAGGCGCUGUGCGAUGCUCUCUGCACGGCUGCGCAGCUCGGCCCCGGCGUGUGUCGGGGUGAUGACCCUACAGACGUGGGGCCAAGCACUUGGCACUGGGCUGGGCCCACUGCUCACGGCCCACACGGGUGCAGCAUUGGCAUGCACAGGGCUGGGGGAUCCCAGACCCCGUAUGGCACACGUCUGCCUGCUUCCACGCAGGGUGCUGUGGGUGGGCUGUGGUCACAGCAGUGCUGUGCCACCAGCAGCCCAAGCCCCCCAAGCCCUCCAUCCCCAGGCCCACAUGGCUCAGAUACAUGUUGAGGAUGCACUGGAGGAGUUGAGCUGUUGGGUCUCUCCAAGCAGCCCUGUGGCCAGACAGUGGAGGGGUGGAGGGCUGAGGGAACCCGCAGGCUGUCUUGCCUUGUGCUGGAUGGCAUCUGGCUGCUGCCGGCAGCAAGCUCCCAUGCACUGCGUGGGUGUGAGGGAGUGAUAACAUCAUCAUCAUCAUAACAAAUGCAGCUGUGCAGCUCCAUUCUGUGCUUAUUGGCUUUCUUCUGUUUAUCUAUAAAUAAUUGUGGGGACACAAUAGACUUUUAAGACUGCCGAAGAGUUCGUCUCCCUCCAGGAACCGUAUUGCCACAGUGCUGCCACCUUAUCUGCUCGUAGAAAGAUGAGGGUGGGAAAAAUAUUUACUGUCGGGGAUAUUUGUCAUCUGCAAAUUACCUCUGCCUACAGCCUGCAGCGGGAGCAGGGCUGACAGCUCCCAGCUGCACCGCAGGAACACGAGCACUGUGUUCUCCAUGCAGCCCCAGCCCCACCCGAGCCCCCCCAUGGGCCAGCACUGUGCACACGGGUCCAACCCUAGCAAUGCACUCUGCCUGCUGCCCCCAGCCCCGAUCCCAUUGCAUCCCACCCAUCUGCAGCGCAGCGCUUCCACGCAGCACUUAUCACUGCUGUAUCCAAGAACAGAUCUAAUUGAUGUGACACCAAUUAUUCAAGUAUCACUAAACGCAGAACUAAUGCAUCUCUGUGUACAAACCUCCUAGCCCCUGACCAUGAAAUUAUAACUCUGACGUGGAAGGAGCCAGCAUGAGAGAGCCAACUCUGGGCUGGCGCUGCCAGGAUGCUGUCAGCUGCACGGAGGUGCCCGCAGCCCCUCUCGCUGCAGGAGAGCAGAGCCCUGCUGGAUGGGCAGUGCCAGACUUGGGCAGCAUCAGCCCAGCGGUGCAUGGACGGCACGUGGAGCUGCGUGCUCUGCAGGCAGCACAAGAGUUGUUUCUAGACUGCUCAGCAGCUAGCAAGGCUCUUGGCUUGGAUGUGGACUGGUGCUGGGAAAGGCCAUUUGUGGCAUCUGAAACCUUACUGUGAAAUUAAGCUAUGCCUGGACACACACAGCUCGCCAUAGCGGCAGUUUGCAUUUUGUAAAUUGCUUUUUGCGUUAAAUGAAAGGGAUGGCUGAUAGCCCCGUGGGGGCAGAGCCCCGCACCCCGUGUCGCACCGCAGCCCCCAGCAUCCCUGGGGCAGCAGCCCCAGAACUCCCACCCAUGCUGGGGGACACAGCACGGGGCAAAGCUCUGCCUCCUCCGGGCACAUCUGGACGUGCUGCUCAGAUGGCCGAGGGCUCGUCCCACUUCUGCUUCGCUCAAUGUUUUCAUUAAAGACCCAGGUGAUGGAAUAGAGAAAGCGCUUAUUAAAUUUGCAGAUGACACGAAGCUGGGAGGGACUACAAGUAUCUUGGAGGACAGGAUUGGAAUUCAAAAUGAUCUUGACAAAUUGGAGAAAUGGACUGGAAAGAAUAGGAUGAAAUUCAACAGGGAUGAGUGCGAGGUACUGCACAGUGACGGGAACCGGCGGCAGAGCAACCAGCCUGGAGACAGCAGGGGGACUGCGGGGCACCCCGCCAUCCCGGGGCCAUGCCCAGGGCCCCCCUGCUGCCUUCCCAUCGCUCCAGCAAUUAGAGCUCCCGCCAGCACCCUCUGCCUGUGCAAACACCCGAGACUCAUUUAAAUAAAUUAAGAAGACAUAAUAAAUCAAAGGGAAAUGAGGGGCUGUGCCUGGGGGCAGGGGAGUCACUCGAGUUUAAUUACAUUGGCAAAGCUGCUGCAGCCGGCACGGCGCGUCCCAUGCACUGCUCUGCAUGGGGGGCAGGCAGGCAGGCAGGCACACACCCAGCACCCAGUGCCCAGCACCCAGCACUUGGCCCAGCCCUCAGCACCCAGCACUCAGCACCUGGCCCAGCACAGUGCCCCGCAGCCACCCAGAGAUUGACGGCGCAUCCCUCGCCGCUCAGCCGCUCUCAUUGGUGCCUUUGGAAAGAGCUCCAUGUAGAGGCAGCAAAUUUAUGAGACUGGCGCUGAAUCCCCCCGUCACAUCAGAGGCCAAUUCGUCUUCCCAGGGCUGAGGAUGAAAUUAAAUUAUUGUAAAAUAAAUCUGUAAAAAUGAUGAAAAGAGCAUCGCCCGGCAGCCGGGGCGGGACGUGGGAACACACGCACAGCCGUGACGGAUGGGGCUCACCGGGUGAUAAAGUGCCCGGGACCCGGCAGCUCAGGGAUUUCUGCUGUAAUCUCACUAAAGAGAUGUUGUUUACAGGAAAAAGGGUAUUUUGGGGGAGGAAAUUGCAUUUCAAGGUUAAAGGGAAAAAAAAUGGAGCGAGCCUUGCAAGGAGCCCACUUACGUGCAAGACGGUGGCGGAGACAGAUGAGCACGUGGGUGCCAGGCAGUGGGGCUGGGGCAUGGGCUGCACCUUGCACACACACGUGCCAAGGGCCAAGGGCGUGCAAGCUGGGAGUUGCUGCUUCCCAGUUUCAGCCCCAUCCUACAAGAAAGAUGCCGGGCAGAUUAUUUUUUGCUGGUACAACUGGAAAAAAAGAAUGAUUUCGUAUUACUCUGCGUUGGCUGGCCACUUAACAAUAGGCCAUUAGCACAGCUCAGCAUGGGGAAGGGAUUUAUUUAGGACACACGGUCGCAAAGACAACCCGGCACCAGGUGCUUAAUAGUGUUUUGGAGGUAUCAGAGUGUUGCAGCGCUCAGAAAAUGCAGCUGUAGGGAGUUCAGAGACUUUAUUCUUCACUCCUGCAAAAUCCCACAAUACCAGCAGAGAUUUCUCAACUCUGCCCUAAGCACAAAAGCAGCGUGGAGAAAGCAGCGGCUUUCUGGGGAUGAAGUGCCAACCUGCUCCUGGCCACAGCACGUCCCAUCGCCCAGCACUGCCCUGCUGCUCGCAGCCCCCACAGGUCCAGGUUGUUCUGGUGCCACCCGCACCCCUUCCAGGGCUCCUCAAGGCAGCCAGCUCCUGGUGCUCCCCAUCCCAUUGGGGCUCAGGCUGAUGGAUGGGAGCAGAACCAGGGGAACACACUGCAGGGCAGUGGGAUGGGGGGUGGAGGGCAGAAGGAUGGGGGCAGCAGGAUGGGUGGAGGUGGGAUGGGGUCUGCAGGGCAGGGGACAGCAGGAUGAGGAGCAAUGGGAUGGGAUCUGCAGGAUGGGAGGCAGCAACACAGGGCACAGUGCAGUGAGGGACAAUGAGAUGGGGGCAGUGGGAUGGGGGGCAGUGGGACAGGGCACACAGGGCAGAGAGCAGCGGGACGGGGGGCAGUGGGAUGGGGGCUGCAGAUAUUCCAGGCUGGGAGCGGUGCUGGCGGCCGUCCUGUGCAGCUGCGAGGCUGCAGUGUGCCGAGGUGGAAGUAAAGAGUUACUGAACGAGCAGACAUUCAAUAAUUCAUGGUCACUGAACUGCAACAGGAACAACGACAAAUAAUAAUACAGGAAAAUGGGGAAAAAACGUGAAAUCGUUAGGCCAAUGGUUCAAGCAUGAAAAGAGCGUGUCUGGGCUGCGGGGCGCAGUCACGCCACGUGGGGAUGGAGGGGUCAGCACCAGCAGUCCCACGGCACCCCAUGGCCCUGGCGCCCCAUGGAGCUGUGCCUGCUGCCCCAUGGGCUCUGCCUGCAGUGCUGUGCAGCCCCCAGCGCCCUCUGAGCCCGGGCAGCACGCAGGGAACUUGUUCACGUCUCCAGGAGGCACGGAAGGCAGUGCUGCUCUCCCUAAUUUUAAUUAGCGAUGCUUACCACGGGAGUUGGCAAACAUGGUUUAAUUAGAACAGCCGGGCUCCCUCCACGUGCUGCACCCUCCCCAGGGUCAAGGGCAGAGUAGAGCAAGAGAUACAGGGGCUGGGGAAGCUGGUGCUGAGCUCUGGUGUGGCCCCAGACAGUGCAGGGAUGUCCCCAUGCCCUGCACAGAACCUCUCCCCCCGGGCUGGGGAUGGGGUGUACACCCAGGUAUAGUGGCACGGCCUGUGGCCAGCAGGCACUGAGCAAGGAAAUUUAAUCUGCAGCUACAAGAAAGGCCGUAGAGUUUCUAGAUGCAUGAGCCUGCUUCUUCUGUCAAGAAGAAAAAUAGGAGAGGGGCGUAGGGAAUUAGACGAAAGCCACGAAGCAGAGUGGGAGGGUGGAAGGGAGUCAGGAGAGCGGCGGUGCAGGCACUGCAGGUGAGGCAGGGCAACCCCGCCUGGGAUCCAGACCCCUCUGCUGCUAAUCCUGAGCCUCACCCUCACCCUGAGCCUCACCCAUCACCUGAGCCGCACAGCCACGUGCUGCAGAGAUGGAGCUGCUCACGCCAAGCCGGGUUCAGCGGUUUGGUGACAGGUUUACAAAUCACCACCGCCGUGUGAAGAGGGAGCUUGGCUGCCUCGGCAUUCAUCCCCGCGCUAAUUACUGCCUCUCUGAGGAACCCGAUCCAUCUUGCUGUAAUUGACAAAAGGCAAUUAAAAAGCAGUUGUGAAUAAAGGGGGACAUCUCUGGAGGGACAGGCAGGGGAGAUUUAGGUGCGCCGCUCCCCGGCGCUCGGCCGCGCUCCAGCACCGCGGAUGGGAG